rnacentral:rRNA from 1 species
GUCCUUUUGAAGUAAUUUAUUUAAGGUCUAGCCUGCCCACUGAAUUUAUUUUAAAUGGCCGCAGUAAUUUGACUGUGCAAAGGUAGCAUAAUCAUUAGUUUUUUAAUUGAAAGCUUGUAUGAAAGGUUGGACGAAAUAAAAUCUGUCUUUGAUUAAUUUAAAGUAGAAUUUAAUUUUUAAGUAAAAAAGCUUAAAUAAUUUUAAAAGACGAGAAGACCCUAUAGAGCUUUAUAUUUAUUUAAAUAAAAUAAAUUAAGAAUUAUUGAAAUUUUAUUUAAAUAAUUAUUUUAUUGGGGUAAUAGGAAGAUUUAAUGAAUUCUUUUUUUUUAUUUUCAUUAAUAUAUGGUUUAAAAAUUAAUGAUCCAAUUUUAUUGAUUAUAAGAUUAAGUUACCUUAGGGAUAACAGCGUAAUUUUUUUGGAGAGUUCUUAUCGAUAAAAAAGUUUGCGACCUCGAUGUUGGAUUAAAGAUUAUUUUAGAUGUAGCAGUUUAAAAUUUUGGUCUGUUCGACCAUUAAAUCUUUACA